GUUGGAGUCAGUUGGCUGCUAUGAGAAAAAGAAAGAGUCAGUGCUCUGAGAGCUGCCCAUGAGGAACACAAUAAGGCUGUUCCUGAAAUGUGGAACACACUCAACACAGGGCUGUGGGGUGAGAACAGGCAGGAAACACCAGCACAGAAAUCAUCAGCAAUUCACUGCAUGUGCAGAGAGAGGCACCACCCUGCUGCCAGGCUCAGACUCUGCGAGGGCUCCCCACACCUUUCUCCUCUCCAGCUCCUUUUGUGUUGGCUCCAUCAAUAUUCAUGAGGGCUUGAGUGCAGAAGUGUGCCUUUCUUCCUGGGCUUCCCUCCUGCCUUGUCUCCAGCCAAGAUGCAAACCUCUCCAGCCCUUAGAAACAGCAGAUUGUCUUCAGCAGCCUGUUGGACGUAAGCAGAAGUGACAUCUGUGGCAUCCUGAAUGUCAGCCUUAUCCUGGAUCCCAACACACAACUUCAGCUGGAGCUGGUGAUAAAACCCUGACAUUCCUGCAGCUUG